GCACGGAGUUAGCCGGGACUUCUUCUGCGGGUACCGUCAUUAUCUUCCCCGCUGAAAGGGGUUUACAACCCUAAGGCCUUCUUCACCCACGCGGCAUGGCUGGAUCAGGCUUUCGCCCAUUGUCCAAUAUUCCCCACUGCUGCCUCCCGUAGGAGUCUGGGCCGUGUCUCAGUCCCAGUGUGGCUGGUCAUCCUCUCAGACCAGCUACGGAUCGUCGCCUUGGUGAGCCAUUACCCCACCAACUAGCUAAUCCGACGCGGGCCGAUCUUUCGGCAAUGAAUCUUUCCCCCGAAGGGCGUAUCCGGUAUUAGCCCAAGUUUCCCUGGGUUAUUCCGAACCGAAAGGCACGUUCCCACGCGUUACUCACCCGUCUGCCACUGUCCACCACCCGAAGGUGGCUUCUCGUUCGACUUGCAUGUGUUAGGCCUGCCGCCAGCGUUCGUU
rnacentral:rRNA from 1 species